CCUCGUGUUGAGUUGACGCCAACAGAACGACUUGGCAGCAUCAUGCAGAUGCUGGGCAUAUUGAUGGAGAAGCAGAAUGACCUCAUCUGCAAAGUUGAUGCAUUGCUCACACAAAGUGUCCGUUCCCGAACAUACCAGGAGAGGGAACUUGAACUUGAUGAUGAGGAUGCUACUGAGAUGAUUGUUAGAAGAAUGUCCAGCUCUAAUCCGGAAAUGUGAGCUACAACAAAUUACAAGCAGUGCCUGGAAGUCUUGGGCCUUCCUGUAAAGUCACUUGAAGAACUGAAGAGUGCCAAUGAGAAACUUGAUGGUGAGGACAAGGGAGCCAGGCGCCGAAGGAAUGCCCUCAUCAACGCUUUGACUGCAUAUGCCCCUGGAAUUGGACAUGGGAAGAAUACUAUAACCAGCAUUGUCAGGGACUGCUUGUAUGCUAUAGCCCCAGUUUAUCUCUGGCAGUGCUUCAGCAGUCAGGGAAAGUCGGGAACUGCCAAAGGCAGCCUUGCCAGGGAUCUUCCACAAAUUUAUAGGGUUGUCAUGGCAGCUGUAAUAGCUAUUACAUCAAUGGACAGCAACACUAUAAUUUCUACGAUUAGUACCGUAAUACGAAGCUGUCCCAACAGAGCAGAAUCAAGGAAGUAUAGACAGGACCAUCCUGAACUUUUUCCUGACCAGAAAAAAGGAGAAUAAAACAACUGAGGACACCAUAAUCCACCCAGCCAUUGCCAUCAGCUCUGUCAAUGGUA